rnacentral:misc_RNA from 1 species
GAACCCUUUCGAGGCUUCAGCCCUCUAACACCUGUGUGCACCCACUGUAGGUCCUUAGGGACCUAUGUCUUCUUCGAACUCGCAUGUCUACAGAAUGUCGUCCGCGACCUCGGUCGCAGGAAACCUAAUACAACUUUCAGCAAUGGAUCUCUUGGCUCUCGCAUCGAUGAAGGACGCAGCGAAUCGCGAUAAGUAAUGUGAAUUGCAGAUUUUCCGUGAAUCAUCGAAUCUUUGAACGCACCUUGCGCUCCUUGGUAUUCCGAGGAGCAUGCCUGUUUGAGUGUCAUCGAAACAUCAGAUCGAAGCUUUCGACCUCGUCGGAGCUCGGUUUGGACUUAUGGGAGUCUGCGGGCGAACCUCCCGUCGGGGGGACGUCGGCUCUCCUCAAAAGCAUUAGCGUUGGGUGCGAGCCUCGCGUGGCACGGCCUCUUCGACGUCAUAAUGACCGUCGUGGGCUGGAAGUGCGUGGAUCGUAGAUGCCCGUCGCUCUCCAACUCUGCGAGCCCGGUCCGUCCGGCCGCGUGUUAUCGAAGCUGACCUCAAA